AGCUUUGCGCAGUGGCAGUAUCAUAGCCAAUGAGGUUUAUCCGAGGCGUGAUUAUUGCUAACUGAAAAUUUUCCAAAUACCCUGCCAUGAAUGACUUGAAAUAUAGUUGGCAUUGGCAAUUUUUGACAGUCUCUACGGAGU
ensembl:snRNA U4 U4 spliceosomal RNA